rnacentral:rRNA from 1 species
UACGGAGGGUGCGAGCGUUGUCCGGAAUCACUGGGCGUAAAGGGCGCGUAGGCGGCCCUGUAAGUCCGUUGUGAAAGUCAAAGGCUCAACCUUUGAAAGCCGAUGGAUACUGCAGGGCUAGAGUCCGGAAGAGGCGAGUGGAAUUCCUGGUGUAGCGGUGGAAUGCGCAGAUAUCAGGAGGAACACCAAUAGCGAAGGCAGCUCGCUGGGACGGUACUGACGCUAAGGCGCGAAAGCGUGGGGAGCGAACAGG